rnacentral:lncRNA from 1 species
UAAUUGUAAGAGAUGGCAAAGAAAUUUCUAUAUCAUUACUCAAAGAAUCAACCGUCAAAAUACAUGUGAAGAGGACUCUAAGGAAAUUAAGUUAUAAAAAUCUUAAAAAUUCUUACAAAUCUAAUGAAGUAUUAUAUAUUCCAUCUGUUUCAAAAAGAAUGAACAUAUUACUAUUUGUGGAAUCAAACAAGAUUUUUUUGAAUCAUAUUUUUCGAAUAGUUUUUAAAUAUUUUAAAUUAUUAACUAAAGAAUCUAUACAAAAAAUUAGUCGAUUUGACAUUGGUACUCCGAAAAGUUUCAAACAAAUUGAAAUAGAAGGAAUACAUAGAAACUGUGUAUUUUGUACCACUCCCCUCAAGUUGAAGCAUAUGUGUUAAUCAUGCCCAACUUGUUACAAACAUUUUUCACUUGACUCCUACCUAAAGCCUUUUUGAAUAUAUCACCUUGCUCUCAUGUUUUUUACAUAGUUAGUGGUGAUUAGGUUCUCUUGAAUCUUCUCACGGAUGAAAUGGCAACUAACCUUGAUAUGUCAGUCGUUUUAUGGUAUAACGGAUUUGAGGCAAUGUGUAGAGCAACCUGACUAUCACACCAAUCUUUUGCUGGUGACAAAGUCUU